rnacentral:sRNA from 1 species
UGAAUAAAUGGAAAUGCAAACAUGAUGAUC